AAAGGGAAGCGAGCCUGCGAGGGUAAGCGAAUCCCAAAAAUAACGUCCCAGUUCGGAUUGCAGUCUGCAACUCGAGUGCAUGAAGCUGGAAUCGCUAGUAAUCGCGGAUCAGAAUGCCGCGGUGAAUACGUUCCCGGGUCUUGUACACACCGCCCGUCACACCAUGGGAGUCGGGAAUGCCCGAAGCCGGUGGCCCAAUCGAGAGAAGGGAGCCGUCGAAGGCAGGCCGGAUGACUGGGGUGAAGUCGUAACAAGGUACC
rnacentral:rRNA from 1 species